AAAGGAGCGUCUACACUGAUUCAGGCAUCUGAAGCCUGAGGAGAAGGGAGAAAAACACCCCCAAGGAAAGAAAAAAAGAUUCAGAGAAGAUCAGUGGGAGGGAUGCUAAUGACAGACCACAGCCCGAUGCCUCACUUUGCUCUGGAUGCAGCCUUGUCCUGAAAAUCACAGUUCUCUUCCUGUUGGACCUGAGCAGCAUCCCAGCAUUACCUGCAGAGUCACCCCGCUCCAGACACACAGUGCAGAGCACAUGCCCUGAAACCAUGCAGAGAUACCACACAGACUCUUACACAAGAGGGUUUUAGCCCCUAGUGGCCUGAGAAGUUGCCAUGCACCACUCUCCACUUUGAAGCUUGGUUUAAAGCAAAGGAGGAGCCCUGGAACUGAAGAGGUAGACCCAGAAAGCUUCAUUUCUCCUACAGUUUUCCCAAUAGUUCCAAGGAAGCUAUCACUGGAAAAGCCCAGCUGCUUCUGCAGAAUGAUCCAUUUUCUUCUUACAAAUCAGAGAGUCACAUGCCUGGUCCUUUUAGGACAUAUGAUAGCUCGAUGUCACUGGGAAAUGUAGAGACACAUAGGAGUUCUACUGAUGCUAUGGCAUUACCAUCGGUGACUUAGUCUCUGAGGUCCAGGACAUUCUACUCUUGAGCUCAAGAACAUGCCGGUUCUGAUGGUCGGUGAGAACAGUGCUUCAGCCUUGGGUACCAAGUUCUGAGGUUUGACAGGGGCUUGUUUUUGAAGUGUCAUCUGCUGGUCACUGAAAUGUCACAAUCUGGACAGGCUGUCAGGUUGCCCAACAAAGUUCUCUUUCAUAAAAUGAGACAUCAUCAAGAAUGAUUCCUGCUUUGGAAUCAUUCCAAUUCUCUUGGAAUUUCUCAGAGAACAUUCUCCUGAAGCAGGUCCUAGGCCUGCACCUCCCCAAGCAGCCCUUCGAUGACUCCCUGUCUUCUGUGAUGUGUUUCAGUUGCAAAAGCCCAAGAGGGUCCACAAGGACUUCAGGAGACCCCCAGACCCCGAAUGCUAUGAGCCUUCCACCCCGGGGCCCCAAACCUGACUCGGACUUACCUGCUGGUGGCUAUUGUGCGCAGCCUCCUCCUCAAUACUGUCGGUGAACUCCGUGCUCGCGUCCUCCGUGUCGUCCCCCGCAGCUGCACCUACAAGAAGACCCAGAAGAGAAAGCUGACUCCCUUCACAGAUGCCUUCCAGACAGCAGCUAAAAUUAGUCUUUUCGCCGUCUACCUCUGAUUUCUUCCUUUCCCCACAUGCAUGGCCCCCUAGUGGCAGGAUUGACAAGCAAGGUGGCACCAGUGUGCCAAACCUGUAGAAAAGCCUUCUCACCUUCUCACCCAUACUCUCUUACGACACUCAAGCUUAAACCUCAAAACAUAAGCCAGCUUGGCCACAGAGUCCUGUUCAUAAGGAGCAGACUGUCAGAGCGGUUUCCCCUUGGACUUGUUUUGCACUUGUAUUCUUCUCUUGCCACUGUCUGGCUAUGUAACAACUUUCCCUACUGUGAAAUGGGCCCAAUGUGACAGUUUUUUUCCCAUCGCUCAGUGCUGAGAGGGUCCCUUGACUUCCUUGGGAUUAGGGCAGUCCUUCUCCUCUCACACUUUUCUACUAUUGGAGUCAGUUUUGCGUGGGUGAAAACCUCAAGAGGAACUAAGGGUCCUGUGUCCUACAAAAGCUCAGGUCUAGUCAAGACCAAUGGCUCAGGAUGGUUCAGCUGUUUCCUAACCACUUCCUCUAAACUCCCCAGCUCCCUCAAGCUCUUGUCCAAUGUCAGCAUCCUGUUCCUGAAGUGUUUCUUGCACUGCUGUGUGCAGAUGGAAUUGAAUCCACUUUCUUUCCCCAAAGAUGAACACAGUCUCUCUGGGGCACAGGCUUCUCUGACCUGCACUAAGGGACAACCAGCCACAGUCCAUCGUCUAGGUAAAAGUCUAGGUCAGUGCCGAUCAAUAGAACUUCCUGCAAUUUUAUGCCUCCACUGUUCAGUUCAGUAGAUGCCAGUCACAUGUGGCUACUGAGCACUUGAAAUUUGGCUAGCAUGACUGAAGAAUUGAUUUUUUAAUUUAAUUCAAAUAGCCACACAUGGUGGUAGCUACCAUAUCAGCACAAAUCUAGAGCAUUUCUUCUCCACAUCUGCUAAAAUAACACUUUAUCACAUUUUAGAUUAAGAUCUGUGGCCCAGAUUACUAAUUUCUUCAGAGAGUGUAGGGAUUUAUAAUGGUUAAUUCAUUUGGACACCAAAGAAAAUAUACUGUGACGCUCCCUGGGUCUUAAAGAACCCACCCAAGUUAGAGAACCUUGAGAUCUAGUUCUGACCCUGCCCUCAGUAACCAACCUGUUAAAACUCUUCUGACCACUGGGUAACCUGGGCCUCCAAGAGAUUAGGUGGUUUGACCAAGGUUACAUGGCUACUCCUAGAAAAGAGCUGUGCCAAAUUGGCAAGUCUUUGGACUUUCAGACAGAGACCACUCACUGUUCCUUCUGGUGACAAAUUAGAUCUCUGUUUCUUCUUCCAAGAGCAAACAUCCUGCUCCUGAUCUCAGAUGUCCGUGAAUGAAAGGCUCUGAAUGAAAAAUGAGCUUUUACUACCCUCUGCAGGUAAAGUGAAUGGGGCAAGUUCAUGCCAGGGAAUUUGCAAUGGCCCAGGCCCACCUCAUUAAAGUACUAAAAGCAUGGUGCCCUAACAGCUUAAUCUUAUGUCUUGUUGCCUGAUCUUCAUCAUGAAUGGUGGACCAAGACAGCAUCCUAUUCAAUAAAGCCCAGCUCACAAGGAGGCACCUUUACUACUCAGCACCUUUAGAGAUCUGUGGCAGACUGUGUAUAGGAGGGAUUUCCAAUACUUACUUUUUCAAACCACCCCAGAACCAUAUCAGUCAGGAUACUGGUAGUGUAGAGGUGAAUGAACACAAUUCCUAAGCUUUGACUGUUCUGGAAACUCACUGAACCCAGGAUGCUAAUUCACUUGAGGACACCCAUAUCCCAUAUGGUAUUAAGCUUACUUUGGAAAAUCUUUCCCUGUACAACAAUAAACAUCAGAACCUUU